rnacentral:rRNA from 1 species
CCUACGUGGUGCAGCAGUGAGGAAUAUUGGUCAAUGGACGCAAGUCUGAACCAGCCAUGCCGCGUGCAGGAAGACGGCUCUAUGAGUUGUAAACUGCUUUUGUACGAGGGUAAACGCAGAUACGCGUAUCUGUCUGAAAGUAUCGUACGAAUAAGGAUCGGCUAACUCCGUGCCAGCAGCCGCGGUAAUACGUAGGAGGCAAGCGUUAUCCGGAAUGACUGGGCGUAAAGGGUGCGUAGGUGGUUUGACAAGUUAGUAGCGCAACUCCGGAGCUCAACUUCGGAACUACUACUAAAACUGUUGGACUUGAGUGCAGGAGGGGCAAUCGGAAUUCCUAGUGUAGCGGUGGAAUGCGUAGAUAUUAGGAGGAACACCAGUGGCGAAGGCGGAUUGCUAGACUGUAACUGACACUGAGGCACGAAAGCGUGGGGAGCAAACAGGAUUAGAUACCCGGGUAGUC